rnacentral:tRNA from 1 species
GCCCGGUUAGCUCAGUCGGUAGAGCAUUUGACUUUUAAUCAAAAUGUCGGGGUUCGAGCCCCCCAUUGGGCG